GGCGGGGUAGCACACGGUGUGCGCUGGGUUUGUAUUCGAGGAUCAGGUGUAAUGAUUACCUGGAGGUGCCCGUUCGACUCGGGCCCCCGCCA